rfam:Kockovaella imperatae strain NRRL Y-17943 BD324scaffold_8, whole genome shotgun sequence.
GGAACUCUGGCCGAGUGGUUAAGGCGAUUGAUUAGAAUUUGAUUAUCAAUUGGGUUCGCCCGCAUGAGUUCGAAUCUCAUGGGUUCCU